rnacentral:rRNA from 1 species
AACGAACGCUGGCGGCAUGCCUAACACAUGCAAGUCGAACGAGACCUUCGGGUCUAGUGGCGCACGGGUGCGUAACGCGUGGGAACCUGCCCUUAGGUUCGGAAUAACUCCCCGAAAGGGGUGCUAAUACCGGAUAAUGUCUUCGGACCAAAGAUUUAUCGCCUUUGGAUGGGCCCGCGUUGGAUUAGCUAGUUGGUAGGGUAAAAGCCUACCAAGGCGACGAUCCAUAGCUGGUCUGAGAGGAUGAUCAGCCACACUGGGACUGAGGUACGGCCCAGACUCCUACGGGAGGCAGCAGUGGGGAAUAUUGGACAAUGGGCGAAAGCCUGAUCCAGCAAUGCCGCGUGAGUGAUGAAGGCCUUAGGGUUGUAAAGCUCUUUUACCCGGGAUGAUAAUGACAGUACCGGGAGAAUAAGCUCCGGCUAACUCCGUG